CGUAAAUUUUAUUUCAUAAAAGAUGAAAGUUACAUGCUCACCGGUUUAUUCGGUCUUUGACUUCCGGUUUGAUUUGACGUUUUGGGAAAGAAAGAAAGUGUUGAUGAUUUAUGUGUGAUAUAGUGGAUUCGUGUGGCUGUCAGCGAUAUUUGAUACGCGUAGCUUUUGCAGAGAAACUGCUUUACAUAUCGUCAUUGGAUAUUGUGUUUUUAUCUCAUUUUGAUGCAAGUGAAGAACUCUCAUAUGCAUUCAUACUGUUGUGGAUUCACGUAUACGAAAAUGUUGGAAAUGUUGUUCUGAACAGUUAUGAAGGCUGUAUAGUAGCAUGUGAAUAUUAUAUGAGCUGUGACAAGACCUGAAAGAUUUUGAAUUAUUAAGAUACAGUACACUGGAUGUGGUGUUUAUGACCUUUCAAUCGAUGAAAUAUGUGAGGACAAAAGAAAUGGCACACUUAAGUUUAUUUAACUGUCUUUGGUGUCUUCUCAAGUGUAUGGUAAUAACAGAUGCAAAUGGGUAGUCACAUAUUGUUACAGUUGUUAAGACAGAAACUUUUAGUCUCAAAUCACAGCUCUGAGCUUUGUCCAGGUAUAAGAAUAUACCCAAGAGAUGGAAUAUAUUAAAUAUUUAUUGGAAUCUGAGUGUGGUAUGAAGUGUGAUAUUUUGACUUGAAACAUAACUCCAUGUGAUACUUUAUUUAUCUCAUGACUUUGUAACUGACUGAAAAUGUUAAUGUAAUUUGUAUAACUAAGAGUGAUUGUGUAGCAGUUUUUGGCUACAAGUAAAAACAUGACUUGUGUAUUAUUUUAAUUUUCUUCUAGUGAAUUUAUGAACUAAUAAAAACUUAAAUAUAUAUUAGAUAUUUUUCAUGAUUUUUAAAUUAAAAAAAUAGAAAUCUGCAGGGUAUUUUCAGUAGAUCGUUGGUGUAGGCUAAGAUGAAUAUUUAGGUUUAUUUCUUAUUGCAAGAUAUAAGACUAACACUUUUUGAGUUUUGUUUAGGAGUUCAUCAUCAUUUGUUAAGGAAGUUGUGCGAGAACCAUAACUUUAUUUGCAUCAAGAAUUAUGGUAUUUCUACACAUAAAAAGUCUCCCUGGUUAUUUUUUCCCAAUUUUUGGAAUACUGUUUGAGCUAUAGCUUUGAAACAUUGUUCACUUGUUUAUUACUGUUAUUAGAUAAUUGAGUACACAGAAUCAUUACUCGACAUGUAUAUUUUGAGAAAUUAUGAACCACUUCAACAAAGAGAUUAGGACUUUCUUGUUAAGCGUCCAUUUUCUAUGAAACUAAAAUGCACAAACUGUAAAAUGUACAGCCUUAAAACUUUGAACACUUAUUUUUGUAGUUGGAUAGUUUAACUCUUAUAUUUUUUGGUACUAUUACAGGUAUAGUUUUAUAUUUAUACAUUUCUUAUCAACAGUAGGUCAGUUAGAAGGCAAAAGAAACAUAAUUCUUUUCUUGCAUGUAACCUAAUGUCUAGCAUUAGCACCCUAAGUCAGUGCUCUGUUAAUUUUUCUUUGAGAGCAUAAUAAUAUCAGAGUAGUUGUAUGUGCCAAAGGUAGUUUUAGUAACACAUUAUUUUACAUGAAAUGAGUGACUGUUGCUUAUAUAUUUUUAAAACUUUUAAUGAAGAAGGUACAUGAUAUUUAGUUCUGAAAGUGUUAAUAAUGAAAUUAUUGCAUUUACUGAUUUUGUUUAAUUCUGGUAUUCUUUCUUUACAAAUACUAUAAAAAAUAUUCAUUAUCAUGUAACUUAAAUAAUUGAUAGAAUUUUUAGCAUCCAAUUUAUUUGCUGAGUUUUAUAUUUAUAAAACUGGGGUCUCUUUGGCUGAAUGGUUAAAGUGUCAGAUUUCUUAGCACUUGCCUAUCAACAAUGUAGGUUUGAUCCUCAUUCAGGUAAUUGAUUUCUUAAAGUGAAUAAGACAUCCAACUAGCUUACAGAAGAUCACUGGUUCUAUCCAGUUGUCUGCCAGUGAUCAUCACUGUGAUGAUCUGAGAUAUUCCUCCACCAUCAAUUCUGGAAAUUCAGCAUAUGACCUUGAGUCUGCACGACAUUAACAUCACCUCUCCUCAAGAUACAUUUGUAUCAGUUAGAAUUGUUUUCUCAGUUAUUUACUACAAACACAAUUAAUAGCAUUUGAAUUACAUGUAUACUGAAAAAAAAUGCUAAAGGGAAGUAAUAAAAAUUGUAAUUGAUGCAUAAAGGGAAGUAAUAAAAAAUUGUAAAUGAUGCAUAAAGGGAAGUAAUAAAAAUUUUAAAUGUUGUUAUGUGCCUUUAAUAUAUUGAUUUUAUAAUAGAUGAAGAUUUAUUUUUAUAUAUAAGGACUUGAAAAAUUGCAUGUUAUUUAAGAUAUUUUGUGAAAAUAAAUUGUGCCAAACUA